UUUGCCCCCAAUGGGGCCUUCCAGGCAGCCCUGCCUGGAAGGCCCCAUUGGGAGGCAAUGGUUAGGGGUUAGGGUUAAGGUUAAGGUUAAGGUUAGGUGCCUUGAAGGAGCAGGUGGGGGCGAAAAACACCAUUGAACGUAAAAUAAUCCAGUCUU